rnacentral:lncRNA from 1 species
CUCUUGACUAUGCUUGAUGUAUUGCAUUCCGUAUGAGGAAAUCAUGGCAUGCAACAUGUAGUGAGUGCAUUAUAUAACCCAGUUAAGGCAUCUGUUGUAUGGCUCAAGAGUUCCAUCUGACUGUCAGAAGCCAAUCUACGUCUGUGAUUGUAUAAGUAUGCAGUUAGUUGACUUUAAUGGUGUCUUUCUGAGCAUCUGUCGAUCAAGACACAAUAGGCAGGUGCAACACCCUGAUGAAAUACUGUGCAGAUGUAAUAUCUUGAAUAUACCUAGGUUGAUACCAUUCUUGGGAGUCCAAGAUAGUAACUAUGAGGCCAAUUGUCAAUGGGGGGGGGAGUGGGGGAGGAGGAGAGUAACAUUUAUCCAGUACAUAGGCUUUAAACAGAAUUGUAAACGACUUCUGUAGUUGACGUUGGGGCAGAUUCUCAGCUGGUAUAAAUUGGCAAAGCAUCAGAGUAGCUAGGGUCUGGCACAUGUCUCGAGAUAAGACUCUCAUAGCAGUGUGUGCUGUGGUUUCUGGAACUAACUCCGCUGUUUCCCAAAGAUUGAGCUGUUUCAUGAAUAUAGCCAUAUACUUGUAUGUUACGCAGUCAGUGCAUGAUCACCUGAAUGGCUUUAACUGGUGUACAUAAUGAAAUUAAGGGAACAAAGUUUGUCAUCCUAAGACACCAGACCUUUAACGAGGCUCAGGUAACCUCUGACAGUGCUUAUGGUGCUAACAAAGCCUUUGUAGAAGACUUUGAGACUUCAAUCAGCAUUGACUUUCCAGAAGAUGAGGAGUAUGUUGGUGAAGUGCUAGACUGUGGUUCUUCGGAUAUAUCAGUUCAUGGAAGAACAGAAGAAGCUCAGCAUGCAGAUGAAAAAGAUGACAGAAAUAGCAGUAUCCCAGAAGUUGUGAUCACACAGGCAGAUGAGAAUGUAACAGAGGAAAUCUUUGAAUGA